AUUUCUCGCAACGCUGGCGCCGAGUCCGACCCUCUGGCCGCCGCGUGGGUCGUCAAGGUGGCGGCCUCCUGAAGGUGGCAGCGGCGGGCCCGGCGGUGCUUGGUUGCCACGAGGAGUCGGUCGUCGCCGCCCUGGUGCCGCCCCAAGCCGUCCCUCAUGCAGCUCCACGUCGUGAGGUCAUCAGGGCAGACCUAGAGUGCCGGUAGGCAUUCCUGGUUGGGCCUGGUGGUCAACCCAAGCCUGUCAUGGUGCAGGCAAGUGCUUAUAGUGGCGCCAUCUAUUCUUGGCUGGUAGCGGUGGAUUUGAACCCACAUCAUCCAGGACGUGACGAAAUGCUGGACCAGCACGCUAACCACUCAACUGGUGCAAGAUUGGGACAACCAGCCCCAUUUUCCAGUCAAGAGGAAUGUUAUCAGUUUGGUGCCAUAUGGCAGUCAAGAACGCAUGCAACCCCCGGAUCAUGGUCUCACCUCCAGCUUUGGCUUCACCAAAACAAUUUUCUCCACUAAAUGUGACAUCAGCUUGCGAUCGGAAUCCUCUCUUAGGUGACGUGGGUCGUCAUCAGGAGCAUCACCAGUUCCAUACAGAAGUAACAAGUUGAACCACUUCAUGCGUUCAACCUCCAC